UUUACGGAAGAUUUUGAAAAGAUUUACAGCUUAUCAAACAGAGUAUGGAUUUGCGACUGAUGUUGAAGAAGCAAAGAGCGAUGUCAAUGGAAAACUUAUUCAUCUAUUUUUGAUUUCCUUUACUCCUUCUAUUGCAACACGCAUGCUUUUAGCUUUUCCCCAUUUUACUGACUUGUUAAAAAUUUGGAAUUUCGUAUAUGUAUUUGGUACUUUCGAAUUCUUCACAAAUCUGGUUUUCAAUGUGUAUUUGAGCGCUAUUGCAAUGACUACAUUCCUGAUCAUAUUUAUUCUGACGACAUUUAUUACGAGAGAGGUCAAGGUCGUUGAUCAAAAGGUGAAGACCUUUGGAGAGGACUGCGCGAUCACUGCUAGUAAACUAGAGAGACUUAGAAGACAACAACAGCAAGCGGGGACUCUUUUGAGAAAAUCCAAAGUUCUCGCGCAAUCUUACACAAAUGCAGUGUUCCUGGUCAUUUUAAUUAAAAUCUUAGUCUUUUUAUGGGGAUUGUUUCAUGGCGACGAGGUUGUCAUGGUUAAAGCACUGCAUAGCAACGUCAUAUGUCAAGUGCUGACUGUGAUUUGGAUGAGAAAAUCUACGAUAAAAGCAAAUGAUCAGGUAAGGUUACAGCCAUUGAUUUUCUAUUACUAGUAUUUCAUGUAACCGCUGAUUAAGCAUUUUAUUUAUUAUUCGAUGCAUGUUUCAAUUACUGUAAUUGAGUUGAGUCUAACUACGUCAAAAGGGAGUUAGCUUUGUAGAAAUCAUUCAAAUUUGUAUCACAUAUAACAUUUUUAAAAGCUAUACUGUAUUUCCAAGACGAAAAUGAAAAGAAAAAUCAAAUUCUGGUCAAAAUUGAAAAUAUCAUUUAAUAAAAUUUUAAACAUUUUGUAAUAUGAUUUAACGUAUUUAUUUUGAUUUUCCAGGAUUACAAGAUUUUAAGACGUCUAUUUGCUUUAAGUUUGGAGAAUUUGUCAUUUGAUGCACAACACCAGAUACAGGUAUUCAUAUCCCAGGUGAUCAUCCAGACGACAUCACCUAACGCUGUCAGCACGAUUACAGUGGAAGUCUCAACAGCACUGGUGAUAUUUGGGGCGAUGACCACAUGGUAUAUUGUUGCGGUUUUACAGUUUUAAGGUGUUAGCUGUGGCCUUUACAAGUUCCUGGACAUUGCAGUGUCUCAAGUUGACUCUUUUUAUAGCUGCAAUUUCAAUCUAACCCUUUCAAUUUCUUUUUGGGGAGCUGAAUAGGUUGGGAAAACUCAACACGGUUGCAACUACUACUUUUUCCCCUGGUAAUUUUGUUUAUGUUUGGUGACAAGUCAUUAUAUAACAUGACUCCAUAUAAAAUGAA